rnacentral:pre_miRNA from 1 species
ACAACAUUGGGACCGUCGGUCUACCGAGCAAUGUCACCCGCUCGGUGGAAGAUCUUCCCUUUGUCGU